rnacentral:misc_RNA from 1 species
GAUGAAGAACGUAGCGAAAUGCGAUAAGUAAUGUGAAUUGCAGAAUUCAGUGAAUCAUCGAAUCUUUGAACGCACAUUGCGCCCCCUGGUAUUCCGGGGGGCAUGCCUGUUCGAGAGUCAUUACAACCCUCAAGCUCUGCUUGGUAUUGGGCCCCGCCAGUUCUGGCGGGCCCUAAAGUCAGUGGCGGUGCCUUCCGGCUCCGAGCGUAGUAAUUCUUCUCGCUCUGGAGACCCGGUUGUGUGCUUGCCAACAACCCCCAAUUUUUUAAGGUUGACCUCGGAUCAGGUAGGGAUACCCGCUGAACUUAAGCAUAUCAAUAAGCGGAAGA